rnacentral:misc_RNA from 1 species
GAAACUAAUUAAAGUGACUUAAUAAAUCAGUAACUUUGGUUUAAACAUAGAGUUGUGCGUGUGAAUUAUACUGAAGAAAAAGGCCAAGAUAGACAUUGCAUCAAACCUAGUUCUUGACAUUUGACAUUGAAAACUCCAUUGCAAUCAACACUUUACAAAAGAAUGUCGCCCCAUCCAUCCUUCUAGCAAGAUUAGUCUAGAAAGUUGGGCAAAAUGCAGGAAUAGUCAAUGUCUUAGGAUAUGGGCAACAUUGUACAUCUAAUCUAGAAUUCUAUACCACAUUACAGUUUCACUUGAGUUAAAGCUUGAAACAGAAACAAGCAUCUUGCAGCACAAGAUUUGCUAAAUCAUUCCCAUCAAUGGAUUGUUCUCCAAUAACUAAAAGAUUAGAACACAAUGCAGGCAGCAAACUAGAAGGAUACUUCUCAGCACGCCAUUUAAAAUCUUGUACAAUCUAGGGCUUCAUAACUCAAAAGUGCACGACAAGGACUGCUUUUGAUUAACAUUCUUCUUAUCUAAUUUGCAGGAAUCCUUUGUAAAGGACAGGGGAGCUGUGAAAGACAAAAAGAACCGUAAGGAUCAAAAUCUGCAAGUGGAAUGCUAUAUUUUCUCAUAAUGCCCUCUGAUGCUUCAUUUAACAGCAAAUAGCUACACUAUGUUUCACUCAGGAGCCAAUGCUAGAAAGCAAUUCACUGCUGUCAAGAUUAUCUUCUGUAUUUGCUUCUAGAGUUGCAGCCAAAUUCAAUCUCACAGGACGCCCUUCCACCUCCACUCCAUUCAUGGCAUUUAGAGCAGCUUCUGCAUUUUCAACAGACUCAAAAGAGACGAACCCAAAACCUCGAGAUCUUCCUGCGUCUCUCUCAUAGAUGACUUUGGCAAUUAAUAAACCUGGUUGGUUUGCAAAAGCAUCUCUUAGACCUUGAGAUGUGAGGCCCCAACCAAGGUUUCCUGCAUAGAUCUUGUGUGGACUGUCUACAAAGCCUUUCUAGGAGCUCCGAAUCCUUGAAGCCAUUACUUCCUUCUCAUCUCCCUUUGGCGCUUCUGGGAAGUUCACCCUCACAGUCUGCCUCCAAUUUCCUGUUGAUCAUCAACAACAGUAAAAGAUUACCAUAUUCAUCUUCACAUUUGGUGCUCAAUUAACAGUGAUCCAAAUAUAAACAUGGUUCCAGCUUCUGCUAAAUGUUGAAGCCCAUGCACUCGCACAUACAUAAGCAGGUGCAAAGAAAGAUUCAAAACUCCAAGUGCGAGUAAGGAUCUAUGGAGCUGAGUUAUGCUCAACUGCCCAAAUCAGGAUACCACUUCCACAAAAUAACUUUACGGCAAUGGCAUGCAUACAAACAUGUCAAAUCACAGUCUGGAUAUUUCUCAUCAAAUGUAGCAGUAAUAUUACUAGCUGGUGUAUAUGUAUAUAAGCUGAUUGCUCUACUAGCUUAAUAUGCUAAUAUUUAGAAUGAGACAAGUACAUUAAGAUUCAACCAGAAAGCAAAGAACGUAUGAUAUGUUCUACAAUUAGACAAAUGCGAUAACCAUCAGCAAUAAACAGAACUUGCAAGUGAAUAAAAGAGUGGCACUUAUUGAUCCUUUAACAUACGACUUGCUUCUUUAGCUUCUUCACCACUUGCCAUUGUAACGAAGCCAAAGCCUCUGCUCCUAUCAGUGACGCGAUCAUAAAUAAUCUCAACAUUGAUAAUACGAUCAGCCUCCUGGAAAGCGUCAGUUAAUUGUGAAGAAGUCAUAGAAUAUGGCAAGUUGCCCACGUAGAGCCUCCCUUCUUCGUUUGAAACUGUGGGUUUCAGUUCCUCAUCAUCAUCUUCUUCUUGUUCAUAGUCUUCAGUUUCAGAUUGUGGGUCAUCUUGAGCCGUUAUGUUAUCAUCGUGGGCUACUUCAAAGCUGUCCACGGCGGCGAAAGCAGGGUGAAAAUGAUGGGGGAAGAGGAGAGAAAGAGGAUUGCGGAAAUGGAUGUUGAGUUUGAAGAGUUUUAAGGGUUUAAAGGGCUUUGAUAAGUAGUGGGUAGGGAGUGGAAGUGGAGAAGAAGUGAACGAGAGGUUGGAGAUCUUGGUGUGAAGUGAAGAAGAAGAAACAGUGGAGGUUGCCAUGGAAAGAGCUGACAUUUCUGCCGGAAAGAUAUUGUGGG